rnacentral:rRNA from 1 species
CCUACGGGCGGCAGCAGUAGGGAAUAUUGCUCAAUGGGGGAAACCCUGAAGCAGCAACGCCGCGUGGAGGAUGAAGGCUUUCGGAUUGUAAACUUCUUUUGUUAGAGACGAUAAUGACGGUACCUAACGAAUAAGCACCGGCUAACUCCGUGCCAGCAGCCGCGGUAAUACGUAGGGUGCAAGCGUUAUUCGGAAUCACUGGGCGUAAAGAGCGCGUAGGCGGGAUAGUAAGUCAGAUGUGAAAUCCUAUGGCUUAACCAUAGAACUGCAUUUGAAACUGUUAUUCUUGAGUAUGGGAGAGGUAGGCGGAAUUCUUGGUGUAGGGGUGAAAUGCGUAGAGAUAAGGAGGAAUACUAGUGGCGAAGGCGACCUGCUGGAACAUAACUGACGCUGAGGCGCGAAAGCGUGGGGAGCAAACAGGAUUAGAUACCCUUGUAGUC